rfam:Schistosoma mattheei strain Denwood, Zambia genome assembly, scaffold: SMTD_scaffold0005849
AUCCAACUGACGAGUCUUGAAUAAGACGAAAAGCGCGUCCUUGAU